AGCUAGAUGUAAUUGAGCCAUUAUUGAAGGCGUGCAAAUCCAUAGAGAAGUAUGCACAAAAGUGCAAGAGGCUGGUUUUCGCGUACGGACCUGUGAUGCUUGUCAAAGCGGAGAAGUUCCUGGAAAGAACGGAUAUAUGCACUGCAUUACGUGCUUGCAAAGCUUCCACAAUUGAUAUGGAAGCCAAAGACAUGAAAGAAACUGCCUUGCUUUCCGACUUUUAAUUAUUGAAGUGAAAGAAGCCUCCUUGGAAAGAAAUAGAUACUACCAUCACUCUGCAAAGUUACAAGCAAUAGCAGAGUUGCGCUUUACUUCUAGUGCAGCUGUGUCUGCGUCAGAAAUUAAAAUGCUUGUAUCCACUUCAUGUGCUUCUUAUACGAUCGCUUCUGAUACUUGCUGAAGAAUCAGACCUGAUAAUAUAUGCAUUUAAUCAUUCUGAGAGCGCGGUAUUUGUCUCGGCA